rnacentral:misc_RNA from 1 species
GUCAGACUUCUCCUGCUCUUUCUGGGUUUCUCUUUUGUGCUCUCUUCUCUUGCUGUUCCUUCAACUAGAAGCCUCAAAUCAACUGAAGAAAACCCAUCAUCAGUAGUUCAAGAUUUUCUCACUCAGGAUGCAAUGGACUUGAAUCUUGUAGAGGAACAAGUUCUUGAUUUGGGAGAAGGGUAUAUUAAUGGAAGGAUGGAUUUGGAAAACACAGAUUAUCCAGGAACUGGAGCAAACAAUCACCAUGAUCCAAAAACUCCAGGAAGAGCUUAAAGAAUGUAUCCAUGUGCAGAUCAAGACUUCAAAACAAGAAGAAAGAGGAAGAAGAAGCUGUGGAUUUGGGUUUGCUUUUUAUGCAUUAUAUUAAUUAAUUAUGAAGAGGAUGCUUGUUUGUCUGUCUAUUUAUGGAAUGUAUUAAUUAAUUAAUUAUUCAAUAAUCUAACUUUUAAUUCAGAUUAGAAGAAGAGGAAGGGGAAGGGGAGGUUCCAUUUUGUACAAGGAAUGCAGGAAUUAAUGCUAUGGAUCUAAAAUGUGGUGGGUUUUAAUUAUUAACUGGG